rnacentral:rRNA from 1 species
UAGGGAAUCUUCGGCAAUGGACGGAAGUCUGACCGAGCAACGCCGCGUGAGUGAAGAAGGUUUUCGGAUCGUAAAGCUCUGUUGUUAGAGAAGAACGUUGGUAGGAGUGGAAAAUCUACCAAGUGACGGUAACUAACCAGAAAGGGACGGCUAACUACGUGCCAGCAGCCGCGGUAAUACGUAGGUCCCGAGCGUUGUCCGGAUUUAUUGGGCGUAAAGCGAGCGCAGGCGGUUCUUUAAGUCUGAAGUUAAAGGCAGUGGCUUAACCAUUGUACGCUUUGGAAACUGGAGGACUUGAGUGCAGAAGGGGAGAGUGGAAUUCCAUGUGUAGCGGUGAAAUGCGUAGAUAUAUGGAGGAACACCGGUGGCGAAAGCGGCUCUCUGGUCUGUAACUGACGCUGAGGCUCGAAAGCGUGGGGAGCAAACAGGAUUAGAUACCCUGGUAGUCCACGCCGUAAACGAUGAGUGCUAGGUGUUAGGCCCUUUCCGGGGCUUAGUGCCGUAGCUAACGCAUUAAGCACUCCGCCUGGGGAGUACGACCGCAAGGUUG